AUUGAACGCUGGCGGCAGGCCUAACACAUGCAAGUCGAGCGGAUGAAGGGAGCUUGCUCCUGGAUUCAGCGGCGGACGGGUGAGUAAUGCCUAGGAAUCUGCCUGGUAGUGGGGGAUAACGUCCGGAAACGGGCGCUAAUACCGCAUACGUCCUGAGGGAGAAAGUGGGGGAUCUUCGGACCUCACGCUAUCAGAUGAGCCUAGGUCGGAUUAGCUAGUUGGUGGGGUAAAGGCCUACCAAGGCGACGAUCCGUAACUGGUCUGAGAGGAUGAUCAGUCACACUGGAACUGGGACACGGUCCAGACUCCUACGGGAGGCAGCAGUGGGGAAUAUUGGACAACGGGCGAAAGCCUGAUCCAGCCAUGCCGCGUGUGUGAAGAAGGUCUUCGGAUUGUAAAGCACUUUAAGUUGGGAGGAAGGGCAGUAAGUUAAUACCUUGCUGUUUUGACGUUACCAACAGAAUAAGCACCGGCUAACUUCGUG
rnacentral:rRNA from 1 species